CCUACGGGGGGCAGCAGUGAGGAAUAUUGGUCAAUGGACGAGAGUCUGAACCAGCCAAGCAGCGUGAAGGAUGACUGUCCUAUGGGUUGUAAACUUCUUUUAUAUGGGAAUAAAAUGUUCCACGUAUGGCAUUUUGCAUGUACUUUAUGAAUAAGGAUCGGCUAACUCCGUGCCAGCAGCCGCGGUAAUACGGAGGAGCCGAGCGUUAUCCGGAUUUAUUGGGUUUAAAGGGAGCGUAGGUGGGUUGUUAAGUCAGUUGUGAAAGUUCGCGGCUCAACCGUAAAAUAGCAAUUGAUACUGGCAGUCUGGAGUACAGGAGAGGUAGGCGGAAUUCGUGGUGUAGCGGUGAAAUGCAUCGAUAUCGCGCAGAACUCCGAUUGCGAAGGCAGCUUACUAAGCCAUAACUGACACUGAAGCACGAAAGCGUGGGGAUCAAACAGGAUUAGAUACCCCUGUAGUC
rnacentral:rRNA from 1 species